rnacentral:lncRNA from 1 species
GUUGGCAUUACAGUACUCAUAUAAGAGCUAGUCACUGAUUGGCUGAGAGGACACACUCUGUACACAGGAAAACCACACUUCCUGUUGUUGUUGCCAAGGUGCUGUCAUUCAGCCUGAGGAAGAGAGUCCAAAUGUUAUUAUUGAUGGUAUAGGUCUCACACUCUGCUGGUAUUGAUGGAUGGUAUAGGUCUCACUCUGCUGGUAUUGAUGGAUGGUAUAGGUCUCACACUCUGCUGGUAUUGAUGGUUGGUAUAGGUCUCACUCUGCUGGUAUUGAUGGAUGGUAUAGGUCUCACUCUGCUGGUAUUGAUGGAUGGUAUAGGUCUCACUCUGCUGGUAUUGAUGGAUGGUAUAGGUCUCACACUCUGCUGGUAUAGGUCUCACUCUGCUGGUAUUGAUGGUUGGUAUAGGUCUCACUCUGCUGGUAUAGGUCUCACUCUGCUGGUAUUGAUGGAUGGUAUAGGUCUCACACUCUGCUGGUAUAGGUCUCACUCUGCUGGUAUUGAUGGAUGGUAUAGGUCUCACUCUGCUGGUAUAGGUCUCACUCUGCUGGUAUUGAUGGUUGGUAUAGGUCACACUCUGCUGGUAUUGAUGGAUGGUACAGGUCUCACUCUGCUGGUAUUGAUGGAUGGUAUAGGUCUCACACUCUGCUGGUAUUGAUGGAUGGUAUUGGUCUCACUCUGCUGGUAUUGAUGGAUGGUAUAAGUCUCACUCUGCUGGUAUUGAUGGAUGGUAUAGGUCUCACACUCUGCUGGUAUUGAUGGAUGGUAUAGGUCUCACUCUGCUGGUAUUGAUGGUUGGUAUAGGUCUCACUCUGCUGGUAUUGAUGGAUGGUAUAGGUCUCACUCUGCUGGUAUUGAUGGAUGGUAUAGGUCUCACUCUGCUGGUAUUGAUGGAUGGUAUAGGUCUCACUCUGCUGGUAUUGAUGGAUGGUAUAGGUCUCUUCUUCUUCUUCUUUGGUCUCCUCUGUCCCUGACGAGGCGUUAAACAGGUCUCCUUCCUC